rnacentral:rRNA from 1 species
AACGAACGCUGGCGGCAUGCCUAACACAUGCAAGUCGAACGAGACCUUCGGGUCUAGUGGCGCACGGGUGCGUAACGCGUGGGAACCUGCCCUUAGGUUCGGAAUAACUCCCCGAAAGGGGUGCUAAUACCGGAUAAUGUCUUCGGACCAAAGAUUUAUCGCCUUUGGAUGGGCCCGCGUUGGAUUAGCUAGUUGGUAGGGUAAAAGCCUACCAAGGCGACGAUCCAUAGCUGGUCGGAGAGGAUGCUCAGCCACACUGGGACUGAGACACGGCCCAGACUCCUACGGGGGGCAGCAGUGGGGAAUAUUGGACAAGGGGCGAAAGUCUGACACAGCAAUGCCGCGUGAGUGAUGAAGGCCUUAGGGUUGUAAAGCUCUUUUACCCGGGAUGAUAAUGACAGUACCGGGAGAAUAAGCUCCGGCUAACUCCGUG